CCACAGGGAUAACUGGCUUGU
rnacentral:ncRNA from 3 species